UCAAGAGUCAGAUGCUCAACUGACUGAGCCACCCAGGCGCCCCUAUUUUUAAAAAUGUACCGAACGAAGGUUGUAACUCCCUUGACUAAACUACCCUGCUCUCUGUUAGUUCUGCUAUCAGGAAAUUCUUCUGAACAGAAGAGACACCACACUGGCCUGUGGCUUCCUCCCCUGACUUCAGAGCGAGAAGAGCCAACCAUUCUCUGAAGGGCACCUUCUCAGGGAAUCUAUCUUCUCUGCAACCAGGGCCACCACCGACUUACUCUCCAUUUGUCCAAGCCCCGCCCGUCCUCCAGUUCCAGCCCACACCCUCCCACCCCCAUGCUGCUUCCUGAGCAGGAGCCUCAUCCGUACCCCUGGCCUUUGUCUAUAGGAUACCAGACACAUGAAAUGCGUGCUGUGGAUAUUUGCCGAAUGAGCAAAUAAAUAAUAAUCCUCUCCAA